AGCGUUAUCCGGUUUUAUUGGGUUUAAAGGGUGCGUAGGCGGCUUAUUAAGUCAGUUGUGAAAUCCUAGUGCUUAACGCUAGAACUGCGAUUGAUACUAUUAGGCUUGAGUUAAGAAGAGGUAAGCAGAAUUUAUGGUGUAGUAGUGAAAUGCUUAGAUAUCAUAAGGAAUACCAAUAGCGUAGGCAGCUUACUGGUCUUUAACUGACGCUGAGGCACGAAAGCGUGGGGAGCAAACAGGAUUGGAUACCCUGGUAGUCCACGCCGUAAACGAUGAUCACUCGAUAUACAUGAUACAUUAUGUGUGUCCAAGCGAAAGCGUUAAGUGAUCCAC
rnacentral:rRNA from 1 species